AGUGAACGCUGGCGGUAGGCCUAACACAUGCAAGUCGAACGGCAGCACAGUAAGAGCUUGCUCUUACGGGUGGCGAGUGGCGGACGGGUGAGGAAUACAUCGGAAUCUACUUUUUCGUGGGGGAUAACGUAGGGAAACUUACGCUAAUACCGCAUACGACCUACGGGUGAAAGCAGGGGAUCUUCGGACCUUGCGCGAUUGAAUGAGCCGAUGUCGGAUUAGCUAGUUGGCGGGGUAAAGGCCCACCAAGGCGACGAUCCGUAGCUGGUCUGAGAGGAUGAUCAGCCACACUGGAACUGAGACACGGUCCAGACUCCUACGGGAGGCAGCAGGGGGGAAUAUUGGACAAUGGGCGCAAGCCUGGCCCAGCAAAGCCGGGGGGGGAAAGAAGGCCUUCGGGUUGUAAAGCCUUUUUGUUGGGAAAGAAAAGAAGGAGAUGAAAACCCCGGUGUUUUGACGGUACCAAAAGAAAAAGCCACGGCUAACUUCGU
rnacentral:rRNA from 1 species